rnacentral:rRNA from 1 species
GGGGAAUAUUGCACAAUGGAGGAAACUCUGAUGCAGCAACGCCGCGUGAGUGAUGAAGGUCUUCGGAUUGUAAAGCUCUGUCUUCUGGGACGAUAAUGACGGUACCAGAGGAGGAAGCCACGGCUAACUACGUGCCAGCAGCCGCGGUAAUACGUAGGUGGCAAGCGUUGUCCGGAUUUACUGGGCGUAAAGGAUGUGUAGGCGGAUAUUUAAGUGAGAUGUGAAAUCCCCGGGCUUAACUUGGGGGCUGCAUUUCAAACUGGAUGUCUAGAGUGCAGGAGAGGAAAGCAGAAUUCCUAGUGUAGCGGUGAAAUGCGUAGAGAUUAGGAGGAACACCAGUGGCGAAGGCGGCUUUCUGGACGGUAACUGACGCUGAGGCGCGAAAGCGUGGGGAGCAAAC